GAGAAGAGUGGGUCAGUAUCCACGUCUGAUUUGGACAGCAAGGAUGUGUUUAUUGUCGACACCAGAAAGCUGUCUUCGUCUGGAUUGGAUUGGAAACCUCUGUUGCUGAAAGAAAGAAUGCAAUGACUUAUGCCCAUAAAUAUCUACAGAAAACAGACCAUCCACUUCUGAGCGUCACAUGCUUGUCUGAGGGAAAACAUGACAGACAGAUCAGGGUGGCUCUCAGCGCCUAGUUACCCGAGGACAAAGGCCAAGGCUUAUCUACUCCAUUGAUUAAUAUUUGACACCGAGAGAUGACAGUUUCUGAUUUGAAAGAAACUUUUAAUAUGUUGUUUUGAUAUAAGAUAUAAUCGUAGUUCAAAUGUUUUGAUGUAGGUUUUAGCAAUACAUAGUUUUCUAUCCAAUGAGAUGGAUUUCUUAUCCAAAGAUAUAGCUAUAAUUGAGAUUUAGCAAUAUAUAUAUUAUUAUUAAGUAUGGAUUUAUGUUCGGGGGAAAAUUACCACCGAUUGUUGGAAAAAGCCAUCUUUGUUUCUCUUUAUCACUUAUCUUUUUUUCACUUUAUAUGCUUAAUUUAUAUAUUUUUCAAAUAUACAUUUACAUACAAUUAUCAAUGUUACUUAUAUAAAGGGUAUAUUAUAUGGGUUUUGGGGUUUAUGAAUAUUUUUG